UUUUUUUUUAAUUUAUGGUAGACUUACAACUGAAAAUAAGUACGUUUCCAAACGUAUUUAGUAGUUCAUCUGGAAAAGAUUAUUUAGAUGACUACAAUGUAAAAAACGCUUUUCAACUGAUAGGAAAAACUGCAUGGAAGAGAUGCAAGCUUGAUGGGAAUCUGGACACGUUUGUACAGUAGGUACAAGGAAAGGAAACAGCGGGUUUGGGACCAAGAAAAAGAGGCAAAACACCACAUGACGUCGUACCACUUUUUGCCCAUGAAGAAAGGCUGUCUCAGAGAUCCGUUGAGCCAACAUGACUCAUAUCCAUCUCCGCUGGGCUGACGAUGCCCCAGGAGGACACCCACAACACUGUUGGCAAUUGCCCGCCAGAAGAGGAGGUUGUGACUUGAGUCUAUAGGAAUAAGAAGAGACAAGACCCAAAAGGGUGUCCGGAGGACACCUGCAGCACCAGGGGAGAAGGAGAAGUCCAGCAGUCUCAGAGCUGGCCCUAAAGGCAAGCAGCAAGUAGAAAAUAAAGUCUUUAUGUGUAAAAUUACCAAGCAAAUUCAACUAGUAGUGGCAAUUUGAACGUGACUGCAAUUAGUAAUAGGAUAAUCAUAGAAUUGUCUAGGGUCCAGAUCCUGCCCAAAAACUCCAUAUACCUUUCUUUUACACCUUCAUUUCACAGCCACUUUAUACCAACUGACAUUUUGGUUUGGAAGCUCCAUUAAAAUUCAUUUUUAUUUAUUCCUCUGUAAUACACAACCAGGAUUUUAAAGAAGUAUAAAAGAAACUGUAUCUUCUGUGACCACUGCAGUGUUCUCAGGGUUCACAUGGCAAGAAGCAUUUGUCAUUGUGGAAAAGCUGUGAAUUGUAGUUGAAAGUACAUUUUUAAUUUAAAAAUGGCACUUCUGAGCCUUUUGUGUUAUCAGCUACCAUCUUGCUGAUAAUUUGUAUAAUCUGUCACUGUAGCAGUACAAGAGGCCCAUAUCAGAAAUUAGAAAUCCGCUUUCGUUCUGUUUAACCUCUUCAUUGCUCCUUCUCUUUAUAGGUCCACAGACACAGCAGCCUGUAUCGCUGGCACUGCCAUCAAGCAAGGGGAUGCCAUGUGCAAACCCAACACUAUGAUUAUUGCAGAAGUGGGGAAUUCCCUCUCCUGCCUGUUUACUUCAUGGCCGCCGGGAAAUACAGGGAGGGUUCUGCCAAGAUUCCUGGUAAAAUCUCUUUUUUGCUAAUUUUUUGAGCACCAAAACCCAAAGUGACUGAAGAACAUCUAUCCCACCAGGGCAAGCCCACAUCAAAAUACCUAUAGAAUGCUGACACGUGGGCCAGCACUGCAAAUCAUUUAUAGUAUGAUGCAUGGUCAGAAAUAGGAGUACACUGGAUUCAACAGGUCCGCGGGGAAACAAGCAGUAUUCCACACCAGGUGGCCACAAACAAUGCAGUGCCACCAUAAGGGGCUGAUGCUGUUUCCAGAACAUCUAAGGAUGAUUUUGUUUGGUAGAAGGGGAUUUGCUGCUCCUCUGGAGAGGGACAGAGGUGAAAAAUUGAGAACUGGAUUCUCCCAAGUUACCACCCAGGUUUCCAGCGUUCUAGGAAAAGUGAAUUUCCUCAGCUGCACAGCUCCAGAUCUACAUUAGUGCAUGCCUAGAAUUCACUUAGGGUAUCAGUGGAGUUGAGAGUAUGAGUUUUAAAGACCUUUGGUUUAAUAUUUAAAUAAAUGAUUAAACAUUCAUGUCCUUCCUUCAGCCGACAGACCCGUCUUGGAUUGCACUGGUAACAGAUUUAAAGCCUCUCUGAGACUGUGCUCUGUGACUGCUGGAUGAAGAUAAUACUCUGCACUUUGAUGAUAUUGACAGAAUACACUCCCUGAUAUGUCAGAUCCUUCGUUAGCUCCAGAAAACAUGCCUUCUCAGUGAGAAAGGGUCCUGAGAGGGUUAUGAAAUGGGACUAUGGAGUUUCCCAGCUCGCAGGGAUAUCUUCAGCUCCUUCCUGAAGGAAAAUUCUCCUGAUCCAGCUGAUGAAAAUAACCUCUCCAAAGGCAAAUGAAACCUAAGAGAAGGGGAUUUUGAUCCUCAGCACAGGUUGAAUCCUUGCAGUGUUCCCAGGCUUUAAUCUUCAUCCUGGAAUGGGAAGCUCUAUUGAAGAAGAAAAAGCUUUAUGUGAAAACUUCCAGUAAUGUUUUCCAUCACAUUCGGGCUGCUGGAGACAAGAGGAUGGGAUCUGAAUCCUUACAAACCAAGUGACAGUUUGAUGGUGUAGGAUGGGGCUACACCUUCCCUCGUCACCUGAGCUUCUGAUGGCUCUGGAGUCAGCACAAGACUAUGUCUUGGGCGUGAGCAGAUUUACUCUGGUUCCUUGAAAUUGGAAGAUCAUCCAUCAUGGGAAGGAGGAACGCCCGAAAGGACCGACAGUAAUAUUGAAUUAGGUGGCCAAAAAAUAUCCUUUACUGCUGGGAGAUGUUAUUUUUAAUAAUUUUUAAGGGCUGGACAUAAGGUUACUCAGGGUAAAACACUGCACAAAAAAGUUCAUUAAGUGCCCUAAAUGUCUCUAAAGGUUAAUGUAACUUAGGCAUUUGUCUGCCAUUGUACUUUAAAAUUUCUUUCUUUUUGCACUGUUUGCACUUUUACCAUGCAAUGCUAGGUAAGGAACUGCUACAUUGAAUAACGAAAUUUGUGUAUUUUGUAAUGCAGUUUUAAAAGACAAUUAAAGUAGGGACCAUUCUUAUUGAUUCACUCCUAUUUCAUUUCUUCCAGACUCCGACUCCCCUAAGAACACUGGCAAAGCUUGCAUGCACACAAAUCUUGAAAUAUUAAGGACAAAACAUCACAUUUCAGAAUGCUUGAAAUAAUUGAUUUUUUUAAGUGUUACUUAUUUCUUGUAUUCUCUCACUCUUUGAGUCUCUCUCCUUCUCUCUCUCUUUUUUAUGCUUAUUUUAAAACCCCAGAAGAUUUUUUGAAAAGAUUAUAUUCAAACUGGCAACACUAAGUUCUAAUGUUUAUCUUAAUAUAAAAUUUCAUACCCUGAAAAAAUAUUUUUAUUCCAAGAUGACAUUAUCUACGGUUUACCAAAUGAUUGUGAUGAUUGCUUGGAGGGCUUGGCUUAGGAAAUCUAGCCUUGACACACAUUACUUUUAUGGAAAAAUAAAUGUAUGUCAAUUGGCUCUUAAUGUCAUCUGAAGGAGGGAACUAUGUAAAAUUAGCUGCCAGACACAGAAAUAAUCUUACUUGAAAUACAGUGUACUUCAUAAAGACAUGAACUGGCUAACCUGGCUUUUGGAUAGUGCAAGUAUUUUAACACAUCUUAUUACUACCCGAAACAUACUUCAGGCGGGCUUUGGAGAGAGACUAUGAAUUCUUCUCAUGCAUUCAGUACUAUGACCUAAUAUUCUCAAAAUGUUUGUAGAAAACAAGUUAUAUUGUGACGCUGACUUUAGUGGAGUUCUUUGGAGAGCGUUACAGUAUCAAUAUAACGAAUUAACCAAAAUAACAGCUGUGCUAAUUACAGGCAAGUUUAAAAACACCGGGGCUUGUGUGUUUAGGUUUUCAAAAUGCCAGUGGACUCAGCUAAUUACCACACGCUGUCACGGUGAGAGCAGCCAGGUCAUGUUAUCAGGACCUUUGCUGUCCAACAGCAAAGAAAAUAAUGGAAGGAAAACACUGGGUACCUGAAAUAAAGGCCGUGGGCAGCAGAUACCAAAUCCUCCUGAGUGCCAGCCUGGUGCCAGAAGCAGCAGACUGUAUCCAGAAAAUUAAGCCCUAGGCAUUUGGAGAUGGUCUCUCCCUUUGGAUUAAUUUUUAAGCAGUUUUCAAAGUGGCUGCCUCUUGGAAUGAAGGAUUUUGCAAAUUGUUUGUGGGGUAUCUUUUCAAUCUUACUCCGUUCACUCCGUUCAAAUUAAGGAAUGCGAAAAUCUCUCGCUAAUGAGAGUGGAGCCCCUGAAACGUCACUGUCAGCAAUGGCAGGGACACCUCCUGUUUGGAGGCACUCUGCCGGUUUCCAUUCCUGCUCCUCCUCUCACACGUGGUGGGGCAAAGCCAGGUGAAUGAAGUGAAGCCAGUGGAGCCAUCCCAAGGUAAGAGCUCCUUUGGAUCAGAACCAAGUUUCAGUGAUCUCACCAAAAUCAAUGAUGUAUGUGGGAAACAUAGCAUUUGUCUUGGUGAAAAACAAACAAACAAACAAAACAAAAAACCAAAAACAACAAACAAACAAACAAACAAACAAACAACAAAACAAACAAAAGCCACCAUCAACAUCAGGGGGCAACAACAGAACUUGAACGCAUCUUUCUUUUCCUGAUUUUUUUUUUUCCUGAAUGAGCAAAAUUUACUAUGAAUUGCUUGGCUUUUCAGUUUCCUGAGAGGGAAAUAAAAUUUGUCACCAGUGCAAUCCAUUUACUUGAAAUUCCACACCCAGGAAAGACAGACAGGCAUGCUCCGCCUUCGUUUUGACAUAUCAGCUAUGGCAUACACAAAUCACGAGCUUUAAAUUUCCACAAUCACAUGCUCCAUUAUCAGCCCCACAGAUAGCAGAGCAAGCGCGAAAUAAAACUGCUUUGUUCCGCCCGGGAGCUCAAUAAUAUCCCCUAUAAAUCAGGAUCGGUUGUAUGGUUUCUUGCACAUAUCCCACAGAUUUGCUCUGCAAAAGCCAUUGCCCAUCCAUACCACUUUCUUGCCUCUUUGUAUCUGAAGAGUUAUGCUGCUCCGGGGGGGCGGGGAGAGGGGGGGAAGAGAAGGAAAAAAUUUAUGGGUUAUGAAUAUUGACAGAGCAGAUAUUCUUUGUUUAUUGAAGUCUUGUUUACACAAAAGCUCUUCACAGGCUACCCCCUAAGUCUAGAGGUCCUCAACCAGUGUCAGCGAGCUGUCUGGGUAUUUUUUCCCACGUAUUGCGCUGCUAUUCGGCCGACAAUAGAGACCCAUUAACGUUUGGCCCUUCAAGUUAGCGCAGCCCAAGCCUCGGUGGCAGGACGUCUGCCCAGUAUGUAAAAUAAUGGAAUGAAUGGAUUCCUUGGAAACAAUGAUAACAAGACCUGGCUGAGCUAACUGUGACAGCAUGUGGUAAUUUUCCAGCCCGCUGACCCUGUAAAGGGAGCUGGAGCACAAAGCUGAGGCUGUGGGGCAGGUUGGUCUGAAUGGCUGCAAACAAGUGCAGAAUAUCUGAUGAUGUCAUACACACAACUUGACAGAUGGGGCAGGAUUUCUGUUUGUUUUGCUUUGUUUUAAACUUGAACUUAACUGUUUAUUUUUCCGACAUAUUCACGCGUUACGGGUGUAAUGCGGAAAGCCACAGCUGCUUUAAAAGCACAUCUUGGAAGCAUUGCCGCGCGUUAGGUUUAAGAAACAACCGUGUUUCCUGGUGAAAAAUGGUAUUGCUUGUGCAGUGAAUGGUCUGGGAAUGGCAGGAGAAAGUUGCUAUAGAAUGAUGCAUUAUCUCUGUAUUCAGCCCUGGGAUCGUGUUUUGAACCCAGCUCCCCCCUGAAUCCUAAUACACACUUUGAAUGGCAUAAAGAAGCAUUGUUAUUGCCUCAGUCUAGUCAUUACAUCAGAGAAACAGACAACCAGAGACAUCUAAACGGGUUACUAAUUCAGGUUUUGUGUCUGGGAAUAAAACGGGUUAAAACAAGUUCGUUUGGGUAUUACAGAAGCGGUGUGUGUUUGCAGGACUGUUCCACUCUAAAUAUGCUUUAGACACUGUAAAUGCACUUAAGCACAAACAUAUGCUAACGCAGUCACAUACCUCAAGGAGCACGUCUGAACGUUUACACAAGUGUGGGCUGGGAAGAGAUGAUACAGCAUAAUUAGUUGUGAACCACCACCAGUACACCUCCUCAAAACUUUAUAGCUAAAUAAAUACUAAAAGACAAUUCCAAUUCUGUGUUUGCAGUUGAAAUGACAAUACAGGUAUAGAACACACUUCUGAAAUUUUUACCGCCUCUGAAAGUGGAUUAGGCUUUUUAUACGCCCCAGGGGAAAAAUGCUACACAGAGAUUUCGAACAUAUUCCAAUUGCAUCUUUCUCUCUCCCUUCCAGUGUUAUUUAUCUUAUUGGCUGUGAGCUCUUUGAGGCAGUGCCCGAAGCGCUGUGAAAUAAGGACAAGAGGAAUAAAGUAGAGACACACAAGUAAAAAAGAAACACACAUUAAUUAUGGUGGAAUUUUCUCCAAGCCUGACACAGUUAGCCAAAGUUACGAUAAACAUAGACAAUAUUUUUAGAUGACUAAGCACAGCCUGAGUAAACAAACCAGAAGGCCAAGUUUUGGAGGGCUGCAUUUUCCUACUUGCUUUCAGUAUCAUUUUUCAAGCACAGAAACUGUUGGGAGGGAUAAUUUUUAUCACAGCUUGAAAUUAUCUUUGUCAAUGAUGUGUAUUAUGUUGCUGCCUUUUCAGCAGCUGAGGAUUCGGUCUCUAUUAUAUUAAACACUCUACAAACUGUGGAGUGCCUGUGUAGCAGGCACUCUCUCACCCAACGAGUUUUCAGUGUAAUAGGCAAAUUCAAUGCAGAGACAGGCAAAAAGUCUGUCUAUACAUGCAUUAAGUCCCUCAAAUCCACCGUAUAGUAAGAAGUGCCCUGAUUUUUCAGAAUGAGGAAAAGGAGUUUGUCCAUCUCCUACAAAACUUGAAUUGCGGAUUGAUGUAAUUGCUAAGAAAUUACUUUCUGACUCCGUUUUAUUGCAUUCUAUUAGAAAUGUAAGGAGCGUGUUUAUGAUGUUGAAACUUCAGAGACCAGAGUUAAGUACCUGGGUUGUCUCUAACACCUGCUCUUGAUCUGUAAAAAAAUAUUUCCAAAUCUCUGCAAACUUUGCCUUCUUAUUACUCCUUGCUUACAGGAGGAAAGUUUCCAAGUUAUGGGCGGUUUACCGCCUUUUGUUUAUUACCUAAAAUCAAGACUUUUCCACACAGGAGGGAUCUCUGCUGACCAGAGGACUAGGAAAAUUCUCAUCUAGAGAAUUUUCUAGUCAGAUUUUUUAAAUUUCAUUUUUGUGACUUGUGAGUACCUUGGAGGAGAGCAGCCUGCGUCAAAGGCUCAGCAUCCUCACCCAUUUUGAUGCAGGCGUCAGAAUCCAUGAAUCCAUGCAUCCCGGAGACUCCCAGCAAGCCCUGAAACAGAAUAAGAGAGCAUGAUUCAUUGACAGGAAUUCAUCUUUUUCAAGUGAAGAGCUCCUGCAGCUAUUUGCAAUGAAAAAGAGGCAACAAGACGGAACUAUGGGGGCUGAUAACUGAGAUUUACAAGCUGGGUUACCACUCUGGGAGUACGACAGUGACUUCAGGCUGCACCACCAUUCUAAUAAGGACAAAACAGCGCAUCUUGGCUUACCGGACGUUGAAAUAUUUCAUCACAAAAACAUUUGCAGUGGGGCAGAAAACAACUCAUCAAAUCACAGUUGAUAAUUUUUUAAUUAAAAAACCCACUAUUUUUAAUGUCUACAUUUUUGAGCAAGUAAAUGUAUCAAGUGCUUAAUUUUUAAUUGGAUUAAUGAAUUGUCUGCAUCAUUAUUAU